AAUGAUCAGCUGUCUGAUAUGUUGAUAUCAAAAUAUACAUAUAUUUUGUUGAUAUUUUGAUAUCAACAUAUCAGACAGCUGAUCAUU